rnacentral:rRNA from 1 species
AUACGGAGGGUGCGAGCGUUAAUCGGAAUUACUGGGCGUAAAGGGUGCGUAGGCGGCUUGAUAAGUCGGAUGUGAAAGCCCCGGGCUUAACCUGGGAAUCGCAUUCGAUACUGUCAGGCUAGAGUAUGUCAGAGGUUGGCGGAAUUCCUGGUGUAGCGGUGAAAUGCGUAGAUAUCAGGAGGAACACCAGUGGCGAAGGCGGCUAACUGGGACAAUACUGACGCUGAGGCACGAAAGCGUGGGGAGCAAACAGGAUUAGAAACCCUAGUAGUCC